GCAUUUAUAUAUUUUUUUUGGAAUUUGCCUGCCCAUAAUAUUUACUAACUUAUGUUGUCCGUUGGAUCAAUAAAUUGCCAUGGUUUAGAAUAGAAAAAUAGUGGGAUUAGAUUUUACGUACACCCCAUUUAAUUUAGAGAAAAUUGUAUUUUCGGUCUCUCAACUCUAAAACAAGACAUAUUGCACUCUUAUAACUCUUCAAAAAACUGUGCAAGUUUAGGGCCAGUAAUAGGCGCCGGCGCACCGGCCCAAAAGUUUCGGCCAGUCGUCACCCUGCCGUCCGAUACAGUAGCGCACAGCCGUUUGAUUUGAUCCGCAGCAGCUUCCUCCUUAUCCCGUCUUCCUGUAGACCCCCAUCGCCUCCUGCUUGCAGCUCCACGUCGGCUAGCCGUCGCCGGCCGUCACCCCUCCCACCCCCGCGCUCGCCGCAAGUAACGUCUACCCAUCGUCCAGGCCGUGAGUGACGAGCACCGGCGAGGACCGUUCCCCACCGCCGGGAUUGCAACACGGCUGCCAGUGGAUCGUAGGGCGUGGUCACUAUGGAUGUAGCUCUGAGGCCUGCCGGUUCUAGCUCGCGGGCGCCAUGGUUGCAGCAGAUCUCACGUCGCCGGCUCCGGCUUGCCGCCCUCGUCAACUAGCACCAUCAUGUUCUCAGCGAAAAAAUCUGAGAAAGCAAAAAAUCUUGAUGGUCAGUUGAAGCAAAAAAAGUGUCUGGUUCCAGCUAGAAUUAACAAAGGUUCCAGCUAAAAAAGACACAACAACAAACUCCAACAAAUGUUUGAUGUAGCAAAUGAACUAGCUGGUUCCAGUAAAAAGGUGCGCUGGUUCCAGCAAAAAAAGAAUGUCGCCGUCGUGUUCCCAGCGAAAAAUCUUAGAAAACAAAGAACUCAAUGGUCGGUUGAAGCAAAAAGAUUUACCGGUUCCAUCCAGAAUUUACCAUGGUUACAGCAAUAAAGACAUAGCAGCAAACCCAAACAAAUCGGAUGUAGCAAAUGAACUAGCCGGUUCCAGUAAAAAACUUUACUGGUUCCAGCAAAAAAAAAAAAAUUGCCGGCGAGGGUGUGUUUUGGGUCCAGCGAAAGUGCAUGUAGCCUUGCUAAUUGGAGCAAACAUCGACGCCUGUUCCAGCAAAAGUGCUGGCCAGUGGCUUGCAGCAAACUCACGCCGUGGCAUCUCUGUCGCGCCGCCGUCAGUGGUUUGCCGCCAAAAAGCUGAAACGCCUCGCCGCGUCGGGUCGCCGCCGUUCGCGGAUGGCGGUGGUGUAGCCGCGCGGCAGCCAGCGCAUGUGGGGCAAGAGUAGAGAGGGGAGGAAGAUCCUCGCGAGAGGCCAUCCAUGGGAGCUCGCGAGAGCUUGUUGGUUGCAGAGGAGAAAGAGCGGCGGUGCUCAUCGCCGGCUGCGCACGGACGAUGGCGGAAGAGAGAUGGGGAAUGGAUGCAACUGUGUUGGAGUAGAAAAAUGAGUGGAGAAAAGCAACUCACACGAUAAGAUAAGGCUGGUCAAAGCGGUGUGCGGUCGUGGCUCAACUGGCGCGAGAAGAUGCCCAUGGGGAUGGUGGCGGAGCUGGCCAGGGCCAGGGAACCUCGUUGGCCGUGAGUGAAGCUGGAGUUCAUCC
rnacentral:lncRNA from 1 species